rnacentral:lncRNA from 1 species
GUGGGUGUCUCUGAGCCAGGCUGGCGCUCGUGCGCGCUGGGCUCCGCGCUCAGUCGCUGGGGUGGGAGGCCAGGGGAAGCCGCCGCUGCAGGCCGAGCCGCGAGAUUUGCAGUGCAGGAGCCGAAGCGGCGGGCAUGGUGGGAGGUCCUUGGAAGCUGCUGCGGGGAACUGAAACGGCUCUGAUAGGCAGGCACAAAGACUUCUCUAGGACCCCCUACAAUGCUUUACGUUUGCCUCGUGCUUUAGAUUUCACAAAGUGCUUACACAUAACACGACCCUCCUCACUCGACCUGGUGAGAUGGGUAGCAUUUUGUGGAAGAUUCCGAGACUCAAGUUUGAGAGACUCACCCAAGGUCAGAGUUGGCGAGUGGGCGGUCCGUGGACAGGUGCGCAGGUCUCAGCGCCAUUUGGCCCGCGCUGCUGCUUCCUGUGUGUACUGGAUGUUCUCUAGGCUCGCCCAGCGUGGAAGCCCCGAGUUACCAGCCGCAACGUGGAAACCACAGAAGGGGAAAUAGAUGACUUUUGGUGAAGGCGAAUUUUACUUUAUCAUUUUGUAUUGUCAAACUUUUUUUUACUAUUAUGCUUUUGUAAUUUUAAAAAUCGAAGACGAGGUUAAAUAGAAGAAAGGGGACAGUUCCCUUCUAUUUAACUUCAUCCUCGAUUUUUAAAAUUUGAAGUUGUAAUCAAAACUAUUAGUAAACAGAGAGGAAUAGAUAUUAGAUUUAUUGCAAUAGAAAUAGUUUCAUAUUGCAGCUAUUGAGGACCAUAUGUCCCAGACAUAUGGUGUGGCACCUGCACUGUUCUUAUGGGGGCCGUAGAACAGAAAAUCUGUAAUGUCUAGGAAAUCUGGGCGAUGUGAUAAAUGUACAUGUUAUGGGGAUCCGGAGGAAGGGAGACAAACCUGAGGUAUCAUUUAUUAAUUAAACAGUACUUACUAAAUAGCUUUUUUGUGCCCGUUGUGGACUAGGUGCUUGAGAAAUGUAAAAUUCAUUCAUUCACACACACAAAGUUUGAAACAACUAUUCUAAGCACAAGGAACUUACUCAGUAUUUUGAGGAGACUGAACUAGUACAUGUUGAACACUUAAAUAACAA